rnacentral:misc_RNA from 1 species
GAAAUGCGAUAAGUAAUGUGAAUUGCAGAAUUCAGUGAAUCAUCGAAUCUUUGAACGCACCUUGCGCUCCUUGGUAUUCCUUGGAGCAUGCCUGUUUGAGUAUCAUGAAAUCUUCAAAGUAAAUCUUUUGUUAACUCAAUUGGUUUCUACUUUGGUAUUGGAGGUCUUUGCAGCUUCACACCUGCUCCUCUUUGUUCAUUAGCUGGAUCUCAGUGUUAUGCUUGGUUCCACUCGGCGUGAUAAGUUAUCUAUCGCUGAGGACACUGUAAAAGGUGGCCAAGGUAAAUGCAGAUGAACCGCUUCUAAUAAUCCAUGGACUUGGACAAUACUUUUAUGAUCUGAUCUCAAAUCAGGUAGGACUACCCGCUGAACUUAAGC